rnacentral:lncRNA from 1 species
UUGGAUCCUGUGUUUGGCUUGCAGCGUGUUCCACCAUGCGCCUUAACUUAAGGAGUGUUUGAUCUGCCACGUCAAUUAAUGAGGUGUGAUCCAACGCUCCCAGUUUUUCUGAUUUUAAUUAUUUUUCUUUUAUUAUUUUUAAUUUCUUUUUCUUUUAAAAUUCAUAGUAAUUCCAUUUUUAUCCAAAAAAUCCCAAAAUAAUUUCUAAAAUUCUCUUUUAUUUUUCUUCAUUUUAUUUUUAUUUUUUUACAUUUUAUUUCACUGAUUUUCUAUUUUUCAUGAAUUUUUCUUUUCUGCAUUUUUUAUUUCUGAAAAAAUUAUUACACAUUUCUUAUUUUAUUUUCAACCUUCCAUAAUUUUUUUGGCCAUUUAUUUGAUGUUUU